rnacentral:RNase_P_RNA from 1 species
GUCCGGGCUCCACAGGGCAGGGUGGUUGUUAACGGCAACCCGGGGUGACCCGCGGGACAGUGCCACAGAGAACAGACCGCCGGUGCCGGCCUCGGCCGACAUCGGUAAGGGUGAAACGGCGGUGUAAGAGACCACCAGCGCGGCGGGUGACCGCGGCGGCUAGGUAAACCCCACCCGGAGCAAGGUCAAGAAGGAUCGGGCGUGCCCGAUCUGCGCAGGCGUUCGAGGGCGGCCCGCCCGAGCCUGCGGGUAGACCGCUGGAGCCUGCCGGCGACGGCAGGCCGAGAUGGAUGGCCGUCACCGGCGCGCGAGCGCCGGUACAGAACCCGGCCUACAGGUCGACUCGUCCG